CCCGCCGCGAGCCCGCGCGCACGCCGUUGGCUGCAGCCCGCCCGCUGCCCGAGCUGCCGCGCCGGUGGCCGCGCCCUGCGGCUGCGCGCACGCCGUGGGGAUCCAGGAUCGAGAUGGCGGUGGGGAUCAACGCCGAGCAGUUCCCGGCGAAGCUCGACUGCUUGUACGGCGCGGUGCAGCUGCGCACCGCCGAUGGCCGCGGCUAUGGCUGCCCGCUCAGCGCCACCUGCGCCUAGCCGCGGCCGCGUGCGUCGACGGCCACCGCCCUAUUCCCCAUCAAGAUCGCAAGGCACACAGAUCUAUGCUCCAUCCACCUCUUUCUUUUUGCAUUUUUUUUGGUUUCAUUCCUUUGCUUGAGAAGGCACGGAUUAAAUUUGGGCAAACAAUUUUGAUGCAAGUUAUAGGAUUGAUUUACAUGAACCCAAGUGAGGCAGAGGUAAGGGAGGUGGAAGAAAGAAAGGGACUGUUGCAAAAAAUGGUUUCCAUUAUGUGACUGGAGGGGUUCACCAUUUGCAUUUAGUUUUGUGGUUUUUGUCAACUUGUGAGACAAUAGACUUUUGUAGUGUUAGAAGAGAACUUCAAACAUGUUUUGCUCUGUUUUUGUUAUGUAAACCUGUAGGAAUAGGAAUUUCUUAGUUCCUGACACUCAGAGGAAAUGGUUCAAUACUACUGGGAAAUCUGUGUUAUAGUUGUAUUUGAGGUGGGUUAACCUAGCUGAUUUAUAUGUGCCAUGUAUUUAAACUAAGAGUGCAAAUGAUUUAAAACGUUAUAAGAUUCAGAUAUCUUAGUUCUGAAUUUUUAAUAUCCUAAGUUGAUUGCUUGUGGCUGUUAUGAGUGACAAUCUGUUCAUCAUGAGGUAAUUAAAGGUAGGUUAUGAUCCAUGGCUGCAGCUGUUAGGUAAUGACACUUCAGAUCCUUUUGUUUCAAAUGUGUUCACAUUCACAUCAUUUGAUUCUCUUUUUGUUUACGGAUGUUGAGAGCUUCAUAGUUUAGAUAUAAAAUAAAAAAUUUACAUGUCGGCAAAAGAACUAUAUGGAUGCAAUGUUAUCUCGUCAUGUAGGCAAAAGACAAGGCAUGUUUGUUUUGGGGGUGCUUCAGUGCUCCACUGCUACUGGAAUGAGGAGAACUUUCUAUCACAUGCAAAGGAAUGAUGAAAAACACACACUUUCUUGAGCAAGUGUCAAGGAUCUUUGGAAAGAACGAUGAGAUCAUCUUACCUGCCAAAGCCGUUGUGUUUGCAUGGUUGAAACCACGCAGUGCUGUCCAUGCACGAUCCCCACCGCCGCUAAAUCUAUCUGAGGAAUGGUUGAGUGGAGCCUGUGUUGGCGUGCAGGGUCCUGGGGAGAACGAGUGUGCAAGGGAGAGAUAAAGUGUGUUGCGUGAUUGUGGGGUACGUACAAGUGUAUUUUUAUUUUUAGUCUUUGUCAGAAUGUUUAGUUUGCAACAAUUGAUUUUUGUAAGUGCCGGUAGAUGCAUAUCCACAUUUAUAGGUCAAACAACAAUUAACUUUGUGUUAAUGUUUGGAAUAACUGAUUGUGUAUCCAUGUUGACAUCAAUAAAUUAUCCAUAUUUAUAGUCUAGCUUCUUUGGAUCAGCGCUUUCUUCUUUCUCCUGUAAGCAAGGAUAAUAAGAAUAAAUAAAUGUUGCAACUCAGAGCAGGAUAUUAGGUGAGGACUGAAGACUGUGUGGUUAAUGGGAUGUUCUAGACUCUAAAUAGUCUCAAACUUAAUUUGGUUCUAGACUAGAAGUUUCUCUGUUUCAGUUUGAUGUUGCUCUGUUAAUUAUCAUUAACUUUUGUUUUAGGUAAUGCAAGUGUAUUUAGGCAUGCAGGUUUCUGUCAGUCUGCAGGUUGUUUGUUCACUGGGCUGUUCAUCUCCUGAAGUUCUCUGUGACCUUGCUUUUCUAGGGACCAGUGGCCAUGGCCGAUUCUGUGGAGGAGGGGCAGGAUCCAGCUACCUUGGCCAGAUCCGUCAAGGAAGACGCAGAUUCCGGCAUACACGGCCAGAUGCGAUGAGGAGGAUGGAUGACAACACUUGAUCUUCUGUUUGCAAGUCGUGGCCAAGGGCGACAUGGUGGUGCCGCUGGUGGACGAGAUGUUCGAGGCCGUCUGAUCCUGUGGCAUUGGCAUCCAUGUGGUCCCUACAUUUGCUGGAACACAAGCAAACAGUACGGCAUAUGCAGGAACACAACUCUUUUCUUUGGUGUUAGAAGUGACAGAGUAUGUGUUUUUAGUACAAAAGUUUAGUUGUUCCGUAGCAACGCACGGGCAUGCUACCUAUAGUAUCAUAAUCUUCAAGGAAAAAUUAAUUGUCUUCCGGAAACACUCCCGUCCAGGGUGUGUAUGGAAAAGACGCCUGUAUAAAUGGCUGAAUACCCGUCUCUAUUUCAUAAUAUGUUGGAUGGAUAUUGCCCAA